AACAGGAUUAGAUACCCGGGUAGUCCACGCCGUAAACGAUGGAUACUAGCUGUUGGAGGUAUCGACCCCUUCAGUAGCGAAGCUAACGCGUUAAGUAUCCCGCCUGUGGAGUACGGUCGCAAGACUAAAACAUAAAGGAAUUGACGGGGAUCAGCACAAGCGGUGGAUUAUGUUCUUUAAUUCGAUGAUAACCGAUGAACCUUACCAGGGUUUGACAUCCUUGGAAUUUCUAUGAAAGUAGAAAGUGCUUCGGAACCAAGUGACAGGUGUUGCAUGGCCGUCGUCAGCUCGUGUCGUGAGAUGUUUGGUUAAGUCCAUCAACGAGCGCAACCCUUGUGAAUAGUUGUAUUUUUCUAUUCAGACUGCUCUAGUAAUAGGGAGGAAGGAGGGGAUGAUGUCAGGUCAGUAUUACCCUUACACCCUGGGCUAGAAACAUAAUACAAUGGCCGGUACAAUGCGCAGCGAAGCAGUGAUGUGGAGCAAAUCGCAUCAAAGCCGGUCCCAGUUCGGAUAAGAGGCUGAAACUCGCCUCUUUGAAGCCGGAAUCGCUAGUAAUCGCAAAUCAGCAAGUUGCGGUGAAUACGUCACUGAUCUUGUACACACCGCCCGUCAAACCAUGAAAGUGACCAACACCCGAAGUCCGAUUCGUCGGCCUAAGGUGGGGGGCAUGAUUGGGGUUAAGUCGUAACAAGGUAACC
rnacentral:rRNA from 1 species